GGUUCUCUAUGUUCUGUUUUAGCCACUAGUUUGCCAGCAACCAAAUGAAGCAGCAGCUGGUGAAAAUGUCACUUUUGCAGCACAGUUACAAUCCAAUGAAAUCCCAACAAGUCAUCUUGCCAAUUUUCUUUCUACACUAGAGCACAGAAAAGGUCAACCAAGACAACUGAAGCAUGAGGCAAAUGAGAAAAUAUGAAGUUCGUAAUCUGAAAGGGGCCGGCAUGCUGUACAGCCAUAAAAGUUGCAACUGCUAACUCAGUAGUGUAAUUCACUGACUGGAAAGCAUGACAGCCAUAAUGACUGGACAUAUCUCGUCUGGGGAUAAGUCUCCAGGUGAAAAGACCAAGGAACUAAAAGGCUACCUAAUAGUAAGGUUGUUAAAACCAAAACCAGUAUCUGAACUGAAGAAAAGCUGCGCUGACACUUUAUAACAC